GACGAACGCUGGCGGCGUGCCUAACACAUGCAAGUCGAACGAAGUGGCGAACGGGUGAGUAAUACGUGAGUAACAUGCCCUCCUUUGUGGGAUAAGCCAUGGAAACGGGGUCCAAUACCGAAAACAGGGGGAUGGGCUCGCGGCCUAUUAGCUUGUUGGUGGGGUGACGGCGUACCAAGGCGGUGACGGGUAGCCGGCCUGGAAGGGUGACCGGGGACAUUGGACCUGGGAUACGGCCCAGACGCCUGCGGUAGGGAGCAGUAUGGGAUAAUGCACACUGGGCGGAUGCCUGAUGCAGCGACGCCGCGUGAGGGAUGAAGGCUUUCGGGUUGUAAACCGCUUUCGCGAUCGAACGGGUAGGUGGAGAAGAAGCGCCGGCUAACUACGUGCCAGCAGCCGCGGUAAUUC
rnacentral:rRNA from 1 species